AUUUCUUUUAGGUCCUCCUUGAACCCAGCAGGCCCCUGGCACCCAGUAAGCUAAACCUAGUGUUUACAUCAAGCUACAGUGUGGCCAUACUUGAGAAUCCAGGACUGGGAUCUGAGCUUCAAAGCUGGGAGAGGCCCUGAUACACACCUGACCACAAACCAGCAAGCACACACUGUAUGCACCACCAUCGGUUAUCAAGAUGAAAACUAAGUCAGAUUCUAUGACAGCAUCAGGUCUCUUGCUGUGAUGAAAACACCAUUAGGAUGUGAGGGGCAUUUCCACCACGCUGUCAGGCAGGGCCUGGCCUCUCACCAACCAGUCUAGUUCUACCGGGGACUGCUUGCAGCCAAGACUCACCCAGGCUGUGUCUGUCCCACAGAAUCCUAAGUGUGGACGCACUAGAGGAUCCCAUCUGACCUGCAUCCCACACCUGCCCGCCCACGCAGCCAGACCUCCACCCUACUAUCUCGCAGGGACCCUGCCCGACUCCCACACCCGCCUCUCCUUCGGGGUGUGGAGCUGCAGAGACAGGGCUGUGGUCUACAGCACACUCAGAAGCCCGGGUCUGGGCACUCACCCUGAGGACACCCGUCUGUGCGCCCAGGCCCUUGGUGCACAUCUCCAUCACGGAGUAGGAGCAG